AGAGUUUGAUCCUGGCUCAGGAUGAACGCUAGCGGCAGGCUUAACACAUGCAAGUCGAGGGGUAUAUUUCUUCGGAGAUAGAGACCGGCGCACGGGUGCGUAACGCGUAUGCAAUCUACCUUUUACAGAGGGAUAGCCCAGAGAAAUUUGGAUUAAUACCUCAUAGUAUAAUGACUCGGCAUCGAGAUAUUAUUAAAGUCACAACGGUAAAAGAUGAGCAUGCGUCCCAUUAGCUAGUUGGUAAGGUAACGGCUUACCAAGGCUACGAUGGGUAGGGGUCCUGAGAGGGAGAUCCCCCACACUGGUACUGAGACACGGCCCAGACUCCUACGGGAGGCAGCAGUAGGGAAUCUUCCACAAUGGACGAAAGUCUGAUGGAGCAACGCCGCGUGAGUGAAGAAGGUUUUCGGAUCGUAAAACUCUGUUGUAAGGGAAGAACACGUACGAGAGUAACUGCUCGUACCUUGACGGUACCUUAUUAGAAAGCCACGGCUAACUACGUGCCAGCAGCCGCGGUAAUACGUAGGUGGCGAGCGUUGUCCGAAGUUACUGGGCGUAAAGGGCUCGUAGGCGGCCAACUAAGUCAGACGUGAAAUCCCCAGGCUCAACCUGGGAACUGCGUCUGAUACUGGAUGGCUUGAAUCCGGGAGAGGGAUGCAGAAUUCCAGGUGUAGCGGUGAAAUGCGUAGA
rnacentral:rRNA from 1 species